rnacentral:rRNA from 1 species
AUUGAACGCUGGCGGCAGGCUUAACACAUGCAAGUCGAGCGGAGCGAGGGUGCUUGCACCUUAGCUUAGCGGCGGACGGGUGAGUAAUGCUUAGGAAUCUCCCUAUUAGUGGGGGACAACAUUCCGAAAGGAAUGCUAAUACCGCAUACGCCCUACGGGGGAAAGCAGGGGAUCUUCGGUCCUUGCGCUACUAGAUGAGCAGAAGUCGGAUUAGCUAGUUGGUGGGGUAAAGGCCUACCAAGGCGACGAUCUGUAGCGGGUCUGAGAGGAUGAUCCGCCACACUGGGACUGAGACACGGCCCAGACUCCUACGGGAGGCAGCAGUGGGGAAUAUUGGACAAUGGGCGGAAGCCUGAUCCAGCCAUGCCGCGUGUGUGAAGAAGGCCUUUUGGUUGUAAAGCACUUUAAGCGAGGAGGAGGCUACUUAGAUUAAUACUCUGGGAUAGUGGACGUUACUCGCAGAAUAAGCACCGGCUAACUCUGUGCCAGCCGCCGCAGUAACAC